GUGUGCCUCGUGCCUCAUUGUGCAUUGUAAGGUCGUUUUCCCUUUUCCAAAAUGUUUGGACUUGAGUAGCCAAAUGCAGCAGCGGAUUCCAGAAUCUCAGCGGAUGUUUGUUGAAGUGGGCUGUGCCAGGAGUGCAAUAAAUGCUUGUCUCACAGUGAUUGUUGAUUCAGGACUGACAGCAACGGCAUUGACACACAAGUGGAUACACUCUUCUACAAACAAAUAGCUGGGGAAGAAUCAUCUCUCUUCUAUUUUCUACACUUAAGUCUCAGGAAUCUAUCUUUGACCUUGUGCAUAUAUGUUGUAAGAAUUAUUGAGGAAUAAGGAUGAUGGCAGAUACUGUCUACAGACUAAGUUGCAACACUCCCCACACAGAAUGAAAAUACAAAAAGCCUUAAGGCAGCCUUCCCUGGGGUGGUAGCUGGCUGAGUUUUCAGCUGUAAUUCUGGCUUUCACUCACGGAUGCUGCUGGGGUUGCCAUUGGAAAUGUGUGAAUAAAUGGGUAACUGAGCUCU